AAAACCACCCCGUUUCAGCCCUCAGCCUCAGGGCUGAGAUUCAGGCUCAGGUCUAGGGGUUGGGGAAUAUUAAAGUUUACAAGUACAAUCUUACUCCAUCCAUACACACACAUGGAGAAGCCAGGAGAGGACGCGGCCAGAGAUGGGCUCCUGCCCUUGAACCCCUGCUGGGGUGGAAGCAGGUGCACAAUGCUUCUUUGAGUAUCUCCGUGUCUGUGGCUGAUAUCCAGAUGCAAGGCUUCUUCCGGGCAUCCCUGGGAAUGGGAGUGCAUAGACAUACUGGUCAAAUUACAGCACAGCCUCUACACCUUUACUGAAGAUGGAAAACUGUUUUCCAAAGUUGACUUGCCUAACAUGAUGUAACUAUCAUGCAAAAAUAAAAAUAAAAUUAAGAAUAAAAAUUUAAAAAUGAAA